rnacentral:rRNA from 1 species
AUUGAACGCUGGCGGCAGGCCUAACACAUGCAAGUCGAACGAAGUCUUCGGACUUAGUGGCGGACGGGUGAGUAACACGUGGGAACGUACCUUUUGGUUCGGAACAACUCAGGGAAACUUGAGCUAAUACCGGAUGAGCCCUUAGGGGGAAAGAUUUAUCGCCGAAAGAGCGGCCCGCGUUAGAUUAGCUAGUUGGUGAGGUAAAGGCUCACCAAGGCUACGAUCUAUAGCUGGUCUGAGAGGAUGAUCAGCCACACUGGGACGGAGACACGGCCCAGACUCCUACGGGAGGCAGCAGUGGGGAAUCUUGCGCAAUGGGCGAAAGCCUGACGCAGCCAUGCCGCGUGAAUGAUGAAGGUCUUAGGAUUGUAAAAUUCUUUUACCAGGGACGAUAAUGACGGUACCUGGAGAAAAAGCCCCGGCUAACUUCGUGCCAGCAGCCGCCGUAAUAC